CGAUAGACUGAAACAACAACAGAAAGGCGUCCGUGGUGUUCGGUUCGCGAGUCGCGCAUCUGCAUCAACUUUAUUUGAAUAUAAAUUAAUUAAAUUAAUUCGAUACAAGAUAUAGCUUAUGUUAAAAGCAUAGCAGUAUAUAAACACCGCGCCGCAAUGAUUAAUUGAAAUACUAGCCGCUACAGUGGCAGCCGUGCAGCAGCGACUGCGGCAAAGUGUCGAAAGUGGAGAGAGAAAAAGUCUAAAAAAAAAAAAAAAAAACACCGAAAAUCUUUAACAAGUUUUUGUGUUUGUAGAUGCGCGAGUGCUGAAAAUUGCGUUUAAAGAAAGCUGCGCUAUUGCCUGAGUAGCAAUUGAGUUGCAAAAUAUGAUCAACAAAAUACGAGCAGUCAAUUUUGAAGUUGUACUUGUGUUGUGAGUGUGAGUGUGUGUGUGCCUGUGUCUGCGUUUGCGUGCGUGCAUUUGUGUGCGUUUGUGCCUGCGUGUAAGUGAAAUAAAAGCAAUUGUAAAUGAGUGCGCAAAGAAGUUGUGAAGUGGCGGCAGCGACAGCCAAGCCCAAAACUUCAGUGAAGCAUUGCGAGAGGGAAGAACGCCACAAAUAUUAAAACAAAGUGCAAAUGACGACAGCGUCAAACACGUUGGCAAAUUAAAUACGACUAAAACCGAAAACAAGAAAAGAAACGAAAAACAUAAAUACCGAAGCGAACAACGGUUUGCAGUUCCAGGUGGUCAGCAAAGAGCAGCAGCAACACACUCACAGACACACACACCCGCACAGGGAGCGGCAACAACAGCAGCAGUGGGCGACAACGUCAACGUCAACGUCGCGCAAUGACCGAGGAAUUGAAAGUGGUGCUGCGUCGCAGUCGCAGUGAGCAGCAUUCCGGUUUCGGGUUUUCACUGCUCGGCACAACUGGACCGCCGCAUGUCAUCUACGACAUUGUUGAGAAUUCGCCGGCCGCCGACUGCGGUGCGGUCGAAGCGGGCGACGUUAUAUUGAAAGUCAAUGGCAUCGAUGUACAUCGGCACACCACGAAGGAAGUGCUCAAGUGCUUACGCCUAUCGGAGAACUUAGUAACCUUGGAGCUUAAACGAGAUCCCAAGCUGAAAGCACGCAUUAAAGAGCAGUUGGCCAAUACGCAGAGUCCGCAUUACGUGGACAUUGAAUCUCCCAUCAAUAUUUAUGAUUAUAGCAGCAGUCCAAACGCCGCUUCGCCCAAGAAUCAGCGCCAGAAUCAGAAUCAGUAUCAGAAGGGGACAACCACGCCCACAAAUGCUAGUUCGCCGGCGCUGCGGUACAAGUCGCCCACGCAUUUGCCAUCGCUGCGCCAGAAUUCUCCAACAGCAACAGCGAUAACAUCAAUUGCUGCAGCAUCCACAACUACCACAAUACAUACGCACAGCCGCAACUCUUCCGCCAGCUCGACCAAGAUACAAAUGGUAGAAUCCACAACGAUUACAACGAGCAUUAGCAACAGCAAUAUUGCAACAUCACCCACGGCAGCAGGGAGCGGUGCCACCUCGCCGACUUUUCGACCGUCACGCAUUCCACAGGCCCUGAAAAGCGUCGCCUCCAAACCAGUGCCACAAGUGCAGUCGCCGCAGCACAAGCGACCACGCCCCUCUCAAAUACCAACGAAGGCAGCUAACGGCAACGGCAACGGUCUUCAGCCACUGCAGCACUCGAACAGCUACAGCGGCAGUCCAGCCGUCACCCGGCAGCGCCACGGGGAACGCGAGUCUGAGCCGGAACCCAAUUCGGCUCCGCCGCAGCCGGCUAAGGCGCCGCGUUUUGAGGCUUAUAUGAUGACAGGUGAUCUAAUAUUGAAUCUAUCAAGAACACCCCAAUCAAGUAAUUUAAUAACGACGCAAGCCAAGAAGGUGGACAGUCUGCGAGACUUCCCGAAGCGCAAUGUGGUUAAUGCACGUGCCAAUGGCGCCUUAGCACCGCGGGCAUCUGGCGAAUCUUCGCCCACAUCUUCGUCGUCAGUGGACUCGCCAACCAAUACGGCCAGCUCGGAUUCCAUGAAACGUGAGGCUAAGCUGCAGCGUGGUCAGCAGCAACAACACCAGCAACAACAACAAGAACAACAACAACAGCAGCAACGCGAUAGCAUCAAUAACAGCUAUAAUCGUCGGGAUUCGCUGACCAACGAUACGUUGCUAAUGUGUGAGGAGCUGGAGCGUGAUGAUGAUGCCACCACAGACUACGGUGACAAUAAGCGCCAGCAGCAACGUCAGCAGCAGCAACAACAGCAGCGCUAUCGACAGCAGCAGCAGCAACAACAACAGCAACAGCAACAACAGCGCUAUGAGUACUACCAAAACGAAGAUGAACUGGAGGCGGAUCAGGAGGAACGCGAAGAGGAUCAAACCCAUUAUGACAUCACAAAUAUCGAAACGUAUCAAAGUGGUUUAGGUCGUGGUGACGAGGAUGAUAGCGAUCGUCAAUGUCUGGUUGACGACGAUGAUGAUGAUUACGAUGAAGAGGACAAUGAUGCCGGCGAUGAGGAAUACUCCACAAAUUCACUGGGCUCGGGCACCGGCUCAACCAAGCAACGCAUGCGGGCACUCAAGCAGCGCAGUGUGAUGCGGCAACAGCAGCAGAUGCAGCGUAAUCGAGAUGCUGUUGAUUGUGCUGCACGUGUAACGGCUGGUCACUCUGCCUCCACAUCCAACUCGUCUGGGACGGUUAAAAGUGAGGCUGUUCUAGGCCUUGGCCAGGACGAGACUUCCUUCUCGGUACCAACUUCGCCAAUUUCGCUGUCGGCUCCAUUGAUUGAUAAGGAGACGGCCAGCUCAGUGCCCACCAGUCCGGAGCCCAGCUCUCUGGCGGCCGAGUCGAGCAACAACGGCGCUGGCGUUGUGGUGCGCCGCCACAAUGGACAUGUGGUGCGUAAGUGUGAUGCUGCAGGUUUUCGCACCAGCAAAUCUGAGGAUCAUCUGCAGCAGGUACAGCGCGAAGGCAUUGCGGCUGUGAUACCCAUUGAUAUCGACGAGGAUGUGAAUAGCUCGCUGAAUACGUUGCUGGAUACGCGCCACGAUUCGGAGGAUUCGCAGGCAUCGAAUCGCGAUCGUAUCGUGUGGACUUACAAUGCGCCACUGCAGCCGCAUCAGUUGCAGCAGCUGCAGCAGCAGCAGCAGCAACAGCAACAACAGCAGCAGCAACAACAACAACAACAACAGCAGCAGCAGCAAUACUACGGUCAGCAAUCGAAUUCAAAUUCCCAUUCAAGUUCCAUUAGCUCAUCGCCACAGAAUUCGGCAGCCGGCAGUCCGGCCUCGCCGACGUCGGUGUCCUCGUCCGUUAUGUCGUCUUCAGGCUCAAAGAGCGCACAGCAACAGCAAUUGCAACAACAGCAACAGCAGCGCGAUCAGUCACCGGUUGCCAUGCCGGGUCUGUUGGGCUGCCCCAAUGGUGGUGCUGCUAAUGGUGCUAAUGGUGGUGGUGGUGGUGGUGGUUUUGGCAACGAUCAGAGCGUCUCAGAGGCCAUUUCAAAUAUCUCUAGUCCAGACUAUCAAGACGACGAUAAUUUAUUAAGUUCUCGCGAUAUUUUAGGCGGCAUGGUACUUAGCGAUCCCAGCGAUUCGGACUCCACCAUUCUUGUCUCCGAUGCGGCGGCCCAGCAACGCCAACAACAGCAGCAGUUGAAGCAGCAGCUGCGCGCCCAGCAACAGCAGCGGGAACGUGAACGCGAACGCGAUCGUGAUCCGUCCGAGCACAAGCUGGUCAUACAGGUGCGUGGCAUGGAUAACAGCAACAACAUCACCAGCAACGCAAAUCGAUCCGACGAGGAUGGUAAUACGCAAACGGAGGAGCCGUCCUCAACGGUUGGGGGACGCGAUGGCUCGCCGCCUGUUUCGGAUGAUGGCAGUGAUGUGGAGUCGCUGCACUCAUAUCACUACUCGCCGAAGGCCGUGGAUAUGCCCUCGGCCAUACGCCUGGCCAAAAGACUGUACUCUCUCGACGGUUUCAAGAAGAGCGACGUAUCGCGGCAUCUCAGCAAAAACAAUGACUUUAGCCGCGCUGUGGCCGACGAGUAUUUGAAGCAUUUUAAUUUUGAAAAGAAAUCUCUGGAUCUGGCGCUGCGCGAAUUUCUACAGCAAUUCUCACUAUCCGGCGAGACGCAGGAGCGUGAACGUGUGCUGGUACAUUUCUCAAAGCGUUUCCUGGACUGCAAUCCCGGCACCUUCAACUCUCAGGAUGCUGUACACACGCUAACAUGCGCCAUUAUGCUGCUGAACACGGAUCUGCAUGGCCAGAAUAUCAGUCGCAAAAUGAGCUGUGCUGAAUUUGUGGACAAUUUGGCCGAUCUCAAUGAUGGCGAGAACUUUCCUAAGGAUGUGCUAAAAUAUCUAUAUCACGCCAUCAAAACGAAGCCGCUGGAAUGGGCGCUGGACGAUGAGACGGGCGAUCAACAGCAACAGCAGCGGGCAACCAACAAUAGCGGGCUGAUGGGAGUCAGCCAGAACCCGUUCCUAGAUGCACCCGAAUCGGCUACGGCAGUGGAAUACAAAAAGGGCUAUGUGAUGCGCAAAUGCUGUUAUGAUACCAGCUUUAAGAAAACUCCGUUUGGCAAACGCUCGUGGAAAAUGUUUUUCAUAACGUUGCGCGAUCUUGUUUUAUAUCUGCACAAGGACGAACACGGCUUUCGAAAGAGUCAAAUGUCCGACAAUCUGCAUAAUGCUAUACGCAUACAUCACGCACUGGCCACUAUGGCCAACGAUUACACUAAGAAGCAACAUGUGUUCCGGCUGCAAACAGCCGAUCAAGCCGAGUAUCUGUUCCAGACAAGCGACUCGAAGGAACUGCACUCCUGGGUGGAGACCAUUAACUAUGUGUGCGCAGCAUUUUCGGCGCCGCCUCUAGAGGGUGGUGUGGGCAGUCAAAAACGUUUUCAGCGUCCGCUGUUGCCCAGCGCACAAACUAAACUGUCAAUGAAGGAACAGCUUGAGUCGCAUGAGCUGCAGGUGACCCAGUUAAAGCACGAACUGAAGGAGCAUCAAAAGACGCCCGUGCCCAGCAAAGGCUUGCCACUGCAGAACUUCAAGGAGAAGGAGGCCUACUUACAAUAUGAGCUACGUCGCUACGAGGCUUAUGUAAGCAUUUUAAACGCCAAGAUGUUGGCCGAACAGCAGCCAAUGGAGUUGCAUUGUCAGCUGACAACACAGCCAACGCUCGAGGAGGAUGCCGAGACAUUCCCCAUGGGCUCGGUCAACAUGCCCACAACGCCGCAAAGUAUUAAUACUCAACAGCAGUCGCCUCAGUCACAGCAGCAGCAGCAGCAGCCGCAGCAGUCGACCAACAGCAGCAUUCUCCGUAUUAUGUUGCGUUAUGUUUCAAAUCAAGCUAGCAAAAUGGCAAAAACCAAAAAGAAAAAUUCUUGAAUUUUUACAGAUGGUUCGACGAUGGCGCCUGCUGUUGUCUGGCGCCCUGGCUGCAAUUGUUCUCCUAUUUCAAAAGUCACUAAAAAUGCAAUUUUUAACACACUUUUCGCUUAGCGAUGACACAAAAGCAACAAAGACAACAGCUACAACAACAACAACAACAAUCACAAGCAUCAAUUGCACAUUGGAGUCAAGCUACAAGAACAGCAAGAACAACUUUAGGAACAAACAACAAGCAAAAGCAAUAUUCAAUAGAUAUUCAGACCUAAAAAUGUCUUGCCCCAAAUAAAAGAGAAGAAAAAGAAAUAAUUACGCAUUUUCGUUUCGCUAUUGAUUUUCAUCAUUUCAACCACACACUAAAACCAUUUGGCAAUUGCCCAUGUCUAUGAUCAAAUACUCCAACUGCCACACACACUCUCACACACUGAACACUCAACACUCAAAUCGCUUACCAAUACAUCACUCACAUGGAGGGGCACUAGACGAUGCUGAUGAGCAAGGGAUUAGGGGGAGAACGGGAAUUAGAGACUAAUUAAAGGAAAAGAAGAUCACACACAUUGCGGCUGUGCCGAGCGGUCGUGUGACGCCCAACAGUCUGCCAACAAUUCAGAAUUUAUGUACAUCUCUUAAGCUACAUAAAAUAUGAUGAUGACUAUUUGUAAUCGCAAGUUGUUAAUGGUAUUUAGGUCCUACACACAAAACGUUCGUUCAACAGAGAACUACAAAAAUUUCGAAAGAUAAACUCAGACCAAUUAUUUUGCUAUUUUAUAUAAAAUUAAUUGAACCCAUGUCGGGUUUACAAUCUAAUAUAUAAGCAGAUUAAAUUUAUAUCGAAAUAAUUGGAAUAUUAAUGCUGGCAAUUUUGCUGAGAGCAAAAGCCAGUUAGUCGUGACGCAUAAUCUUAAUUGAUGCCAAACUUUUAUGCUGUUCUAAUUAUUUGGCACAGGACUCUGAUGAACGGCAUUCUGUAUUGUACCCCUUAUACACUGCUUAUUCACAUAUACAAAUUAUUAUUUAAAAUUGAAAGAAACUUACAUCAUUACCUAUGCUAUCAUUAUAAAUGAUAAAAAUAAAUAAUUAAACAAUA